AGAACGAACGCUGGCGGCGUGGAUAAGACAUGCAAGUCGAACGCGACUUAUUUUGUUAGCAAUAACAGAGUAAGUUGAGUGGCGAAAGGGUGCGUAACACGUGGGAAUUUACCAAGAAGUGGGGAAUAGCUCGACGAAAGUCGAAUUAAUACCGCAUGUGAUCGUAAGAUCAAAGCCGGGGACCGCAAGGCCUGGCGCUUUUUGAGAAGCCCGCGGCCCAUCAGCUAGUUGGCGAGGUAAUGGCUCACCAAGGCUAUGACGGGUAGCUGGUCUGAGAGGACGACCAGCCACACUGGAACUGAGACACGGUCCAGACACCUACGGGUGGCAGCAGUCGAGAAUUUUUCACAAU
rnacentral:rRNA from 1 species